GAUAACUCAGUUGGUUUUAGAGCGUGGUGCUGAUAAUACCAAGGUCACAGGUUCGAUCCCCAUAUGGGAUUCCUGCACUGCA